GUGGGGAAUAUUGGACAAUGGGGGGAACCCUGAUCCAGCCAUGCCGCGUGUGUGAAGAAGGCCUUUUGGUUGUAAAGCACUUUAAGCGAGGAGGAGGCUUCCGAGAUUAAUACUCUUGGAUAGUGGACGUUACUCGCAGAAUAAGCACCGGCUAACUCUGUGCCAGCAGCCGCGGUAAUACAGAGGGUGCAAGCGUUAAUCGGAUUUACUGGGCGUAAAGCGCGCGUAGGUGGCCAAUUAAGUCAAAUGUGAAAUCCCCGAGCUUAACUUGGGAAUUGCAUUCGAUACUGGUUGGCUAGAGUAUGGGAGAGGAUGGUAGAAUUCCAGGUGUAGCGGUGAAAUGCGUAGAGAUCUGGAGGAAUACCGAUGGCGAAGGCAGCCAUCUGGCCUAAUACUGACACUGAGGUGCGAAAGCAUGGGGAGCAAACAGGAUUAGAUACCCCAGUAGUCC
rnacentral:rRNA from 1 species